rnacentral:rRNA from 1 species
GACGUAGGAAGCAAGCGUUGUCCGGAAUUACUGGGCGUAAAGAGCUCGUAGGCGGGACCGUAAGUCCGAGAGGAAAUCUCAAGGCUCAACUUUGGGGCUUUCUUGGAUACUGCGGUUCUUGAGGAUGAGAGAGGUAAGUAGAAUUCCCGGUGUAGCGGUGAAAUGCGUAGAUAUCGGGAGGAAUACCAGUGGCGAAGGCGGCUUACUCGCUCAUUCCUGACGCUGAGGAGCGAAAGCGUGGGGAGCAAACGGG